ensembl:misc_RNA Metazoa_SRP Metazoan signal recognition particle RNA
GCCAGGCAUGGGGGUGCAUGCCUGUAGUCCCAGCUACUUGGGAGGCUGAAGUAGGAGGAUUGCCUGAGCCCAGGAGUUCAAGGCUGCAGUGAACUAUGAUUGCAUCACUGUACUCCAGCCUGGGCGACAGAGUGAGACCCUGUCUCUA